GGGCAUGUGGUUUAGUGGUAUAACAUUCGCUUAGCAUGUUUGCGUGCGAAAGGUCCGGCGUUCAAUUCGCCGCUUGUCCA
rfam:Sphaerobolus stellatus SS14 unplaced genomic scaffold SPHSTscaffold_123, whole genome shotgun sequence.